rnacentral:rRNA from 1 species
AGGGGRAAAUUAAUAAAUUAAGAAAAUAAUAAAAAAAUUUUUAAAAUAAGAUUAUUUAAAUGGGGGUUUAAGUAUUUUUAAUAGAAAAAAUUAAAAAUUUUAUAGGGGAAUAGUAUUGAGAAAGAAUUUUGAAAUAUUUGAAAAURAAUUUAAAAAAAAGUAAAUUUAAAUUAUUGUAUCUUGUGUAUCAGAGUUUAUUAAAUAAAGAUUUUAUAUAAAAUAUUCUCGAAUUUAAAAGAGAUAAUUAAUUAAAAAAGUUAUUGUAGUAAAAAUAUUUUAAAUAAUUAAUUUGUAAUGAAAUGUUAAUCGUUUUUAAAAAUAUCUAGUUUUUUUUGAAAAAAAUUUAAUUUUAUUUUUAAUUUAAAAUAAUAUUAAUUAAUUAAUUAUUUUAAAUUAAAAAUUAAUAUUUUAAGGGAUAAGCUUUAAAAUAAAUUAUUAAAAUAAAUAAUAUUCAUUAUAAAUAAAUUUAAAAAUUUUAGAAUUUAAAUUGUUAAUAAAUUGUAAUUUAUUAUAAAUAAUUUUAUAAUAAUAAAAAUUUUAUAAAAAUAUUUAAUUUUUUAAAAAAAUUAUAAUUUAAAAUAAAAUUAAAUUAGGAAUAAUGAUAAAAUUAGUAUAUUAAUAAGUAAAAUUAUAAAUUUUAUUUAUAAAUAAAAUUAAAUAAAAUUAAUAAAAAGGAAUUCGGCAAAAAGUUAUAUUCACUUGUUUAUCAAAAACAUGUCUUUUUGUAAAUAAUUUAAAGUCUAAUCUGCCCGCUGAUGGAAUAUUGAAGGGCUGCAGUAUUUUGACUGUACAAAGGUAGCAUAAUCAUUAGUCUUUUAAUUGAUGACUUGUAUGAAGGAUUGGAUGAAAUAUAAACUGUCUUUUUAUUAUUUAUAAAAUUUAAUUUUUUAGUAAAAAAGCUAAAAUAGAUUUAAAAGACGAGAAGACCCUAUAGAGUUUUAUAAUAAAAUAUAAUUUAAAUUGUUUAUUAAAAGAGUAAUUAAAAUUAGUUUUAUUAUUUUGUUGGGGUGAUAAAAAAAUAUAUAUAACUUUUUUUAAUAUUUAUACAUAAAUAAGUGGGUAAAUGAUCCAAAAUUUUUGAUUAGAAGAAGAAAUUACCUUAGGGAUAACAGCGUAAUUUUUUUUUCUAGUACAAAUAGGAAAAAGAGUUUGCGACCUCGAUGUUGGAUUAAGAUAAAAUUUAAAUGCAAAAGUUUAAAAUUUUGAUCUGUUCGAUCAUUAAAAUCUUACAUGAUCUGAGUUCAAACCGGUGUAAGCCAGGUUGGUUUCUAUCUUUAAAAGAAUAUGAUAUUUUAGUACGAAAGGAUUAAAUAUUAAAAUUAAAUUUUAAGGGGGAAUAUUAAUAAAAUAAAAUAAUAAUAGUAAAGUAGAGUUAAAAUAGG